rnacentral:rRNA from 1 species
AUUGAACGCUGGCGGCAGGCCUAGCACACGCAAGUCGAGCGGAUGAAGGGAGCUUGCUCCUGGAUUCAGCGGCGGACGGGUGAGUAAUGCCUAGGAAUCUGCCUGGUAGUGGGGGAUAACGUCCGGAAACGGGCGCUAAUACCGCAUACGUCCUGAGGGAGAAAGUGGGGGAUCUUCGGACCUCACGCUAUCAGAUGAGCCUAGGUCGGAUUAGCUAGUUGGUGGGGUAAAGGCCUACCAAGGCGACGAUCCGUAACUGGUCUGAGAGGAUGAUCAGUCACACUGGAACUGAGACACGGUCCAGACUCCUACGGGAGGCAGCAGUGGGGAAUAUUGGACAAUGGGCGAAAGCCUGAUCCAGCCAUGCCGCGUGUGUGAAGAAGGUCUUCGGAUUGUAAAGCACUUUAAGUUGGGAGGAAGGGCAGUAAGUUAAUACCUUGCUGUUUUGACGUUACCAACAGAAUAAGCACCGGCUAACUUCGUG